UACGGGGGGGGCAAGCGUUGUUCGGAAUUACUGGGCGUAAAGGGCUCGUAGGUUGCCAACUAAGUCAGACGUGAAAUCCCUCGGCUUAACCGGGGAACUGCGUCUGAUACUGGAUGGCUUGAGUUUGGGAGAGGGAUGCGGAAUUCCAGGUGUAGCGGUGAAAUGCGUAGAUAUCUGGAGGAACACCGGUGGCGAAGGCGGCAUCCUGGACCGGUAUUGACGCUGAGGCGCGAAAGCUAGGGGAGCAAACGGG
rnacentral:rRNA from 1 species